AUGCCGUGCGCAUGCUCAAUACCCUACAGACCAAUGCCGGCUACCUGGAGCAGGUGAAGCGCCAGCGGGGUGACCCCCAGACACAGCUGGAAGCCAUGGAACUGUACCUGGCACGGAGUGGGCUGCAGGUGGAGGACUUGGAUCGGCUGAACAUCAUCCACGUCACUGGGACGAAGGGGAAGGGCUCCACCUGUGCCUUCACGGAAUGUAUCCUCCGAAGCUAUGGCCUGAAGACGGGAUUCUUUAGGUACUGGCUUGUGGGGGGAUGUGGUGUCUCUGUCCCAAUGGACCCUGGGGGGCUAUGGAACCAGCCAGUGCUUCAGGACCAGGGUCACCCCCAGGAGGUCAGCUGCAUGUCUCUCUGCCCAAUGUUUAUUCAUUCAAUAAACAUUCAGUUAGCACUU
rnacentral:sRNA from 1 species